rnacentral:rRNA from 1 species
UACAGAGGUCUCAAGCGUUGUUCGGAUUCAUUGGGCGUAAAGAGCUCGUAGGCGGCUUGGCAAGUCGGGUGUGAAAACUUCAGGCUCAACCUGGAGCGGCCACUCGAUACUGCCAUGGCUUGAGUCCGGUAGGGGACCACGGAAUUCCUGGUGUAGCGGUGAAAUGCGCAGAUAUCAGGAGGAACACCGAUGGCGAAGGCAGGUCUCUGGGCAUUGAACUGACGCUGAGGAGCGAAAGCAUGGGGAGCGAACAGG